AAUUCAUUUGAAGAUCCUGCUUCUGGUAUGCUGGGAGGUGAGUAGAUGUGUUGGGAAGUGUGUGGGGUUCUCUUCUGAGUGCAUCGGUUUUUUCAGUGGACUAGGAAGCAGAGUCAUCAACUGUGAAAAUCAAGGUUUAAGAAAGUGUUGGCAGUUGAGGAGAGGGGAGGAGUAGGAAGUCACAGGUGGAGAGUGAGGGUAGGAAAUGAAUAAGGUCGCCUUAGAUCUCACUAGUAUGAGAUCCCUCCUCAUGCUUGUUUGUCUUCAGCCACACUCACCUACUGGGGACAGUUACAGAGUAGACAGAGAACUAUGUUCACCAGAGUCAGGGUUUUGCCAAAUGAGGAUAGUGAAACUAGAGAAGGGGCAAUGGAUUCUGAAGUGUGAACAGAAGGGAUUAUGGCGACCAUCUGUGAAAUCAGGCAGUUUAAGGAGGAAGGAGACUAUAACAGAGGCACAGAGAAAAGGCUAAAGGAUCCACGGUCUGUAGAAAUCUAAGGAUUUUUCGAGCAAAUGUACUGAUUGGAGAUAUUUGUGUCUUUUCAUUUUCAUAGACCUUAACACCUUUUUUUGUUUGUUUUUUGCAAGGGAAAACUGAGAUUGGAAUCUAGGGUCUCAUGUUAGACAAGCACUAUAUUCCUGGGCUACAGCCUCAGUCAUUUCCUUUCUUUCUUUUUUGGUACUGAGGAUUGAACCCAAAGGUUCCCCAAGCCCUUUUUAUUUUUUAAUUUUGAGAGAUGAUCUCGCUUAGUUGCUUAAGGCCUUGCUAAAUUGCUUAGGCUAGCUUUGAACUUGUGAUUCUCUUGCCUCAGCCUCCCCAGUCACUGGGAUUACAGACUUGCACCACCACUCCCAGCUCUCAAUCCUUUUCUCAUAGACCUUUACUGUCCUUGUCUGAAUAUGUGACACAGCAAAUGCAAUUCAGGCAUCAAUGGCCAUGAUGUGGUGUGAAGUUUAUUGUUUAAAAUUUUUUUUACAAAUCGUAUUCUAAAACUAAUAGUUUUAGGAAAGCUACGAUUAGGACAGGCUUCUCAAAAUCUUUGGUAGUAAUGAAAAGUAAUAGCAAUCCUAAUAAAAAUUUUAGUUUAAAUAAAAAGAGACAUUAAAUUUUUAAUAAGUAAACUCCAUAAUAUAUGUACUUUAUCCUUUUAAAAGAAAGAUGAAGAUGAUGUGAUGGAAGAGAGGGAAGGCCAGUGGAGUCUGUGGAACUGUGGAGAUGAGGGUGAAUGAUAAAAACAGAGAACUGCUGAGUGAGCAGUUUAAGAAAGAGCUGGUGGCCAGCCAGACAGGCAAGGAGAAGGGUAUAGGUUCAAAGAACUUGGUGUGUGGUGCUGUGUUCCCCUGGCUGGUUGUAUUUAGUUAUGUUGGGCCACUUCAAAUUCAGCUGCUGCACCUUGUAUCAGCAUAUCAAAUAUCAACCAAAAUUAUGUAAUAUUUUCUACUGAUGUCAUUACCUUAUUUGCUGAUCAUGUGUAGGCUAUUUUAUUUUAGAAAAUUUGUAUUGUUAUAGAACAGACUGCACUUUAAUUAUUUAUAAAGUCUUAGAAGCAGGUCAUAAAACUCUGUUUUGGAAUGCAGUAAAAAGAAUUGGAUUAUUUACCAGUACUCCAUGCUCUAGCCUGACCCAGUUUCUUUGAGGGUGUAAAUCAGCAUGCUGACUUAGUGUGUAGUCUCCCCACCACACUCAGUCCCAGAGAGGUCCUCCUCAUGCCUCAGGAUCUAGUCCAAGCAUCAUAUUCUCCUGAAGACCUUCCUUUUCUCGCCCAUCUUUAUGACAUGACUCAAGGGUAAAUCUACCCUUUUGACACUGGGAACUCCUUUCAGAGUUAGCAUUGUGUUUUAUUUAUCUCUUCAUACUCUCACUGAAGCAGUCUCAGUAUGAGUCUAAAUACUUUUUAAAUAUUUUGAUUUUAUUUUUUCCUGAGACUUCAUCAGUGUAAACAGGACCUGGUGAUGCAUCCCUGUAAUCCCAGUGACUCAGGCGGCUAUGGCAGGAGGAUCAUAAGUUUAAGGCCAGCCUGGGCAACUUAACAAGUUGCCCUGACUCAAAACAAAAACUUAAAAGGGCUGAGGAUAUAAUUCAUUGAGUGCCCCUGGGUUCAAUCCCUAGUAUACACACACACACCAAAAGAAACACAAGAGACUUCCUGAACAUACAGCAUUUCUUUUGGGGUCUUAGAAAGGCCUCUCAGAAUUACUGAGUUUACUGAAGUUUCUGUUAGUUUCACCCAAUCACCACUUGCCCAUCAGGCUUACCCUAAGAGACCCAAUUCUUACAUACCCACAAGGCAGUGCCACAACUCACAGCUUACUAUUUUAAACUUACCUACUAGAUGCAACAUAUUUGUUACAUUCUGCAGUUUUAUUCUGCUUUUAUAUUACUGUUAUUUAUUUUUUACUAAAGCCACUUUUUAAAAAAAAAAAUUAUUUUUUAAAAGUAAAUUGUACUUUACAGGAAAAAUAAAAACACAAGCAAAGAACAAAAUCAUCCAGUCACAAGAAGCUUAGCUGGACGUGUCCCUCUAGGUUGUGUGCAUAUAUACACAAUAUCCCAUUUUGAGUGAUUGAGAUUGUGGUGUGUAGCAUGCUUUUCCAUACAUCAUGAAUAUUCACCAUUUCAAAAUCCCAAAGCUACAUGAGUAUUUUUUGAUAACCAAGAAUACACUACACCAACUCAAUCUGUUAUCCUUUCUUGGGGACUAAAGCCACUUUUAAGGUGUACAUUUUAAAAAAAAAUUUUUUAGUUGUAGUUGGACACAGUAUCUUUAUUUUAUUUAAUUAUGUUUAUGUUGUGCUAAGGAUUGAACCCAGCACCUUGCCCGUGCUAGAUAAGCACUCUUAUCGCUGAGCCACAACCCCAGCCCCCAAGAUGCACAUUUUUAAGAAUUAAAAAAAAAAAAACAGCAUAUUUUCCUAUUUAGAGGAACAGUUUAGAAAUAAGAUGGAGGGAUUUGGUGCCCAUGAUAAGAACAAAAAAUUUAAUUGUGUUUGUGUAUUUUUCAUAGACAACGUAGGACUGUAGGAGUUAGUGGUGCAGACGAAGAAUGUUAAUGAUUCUGCUUUUUGUCUUUUGGAGGGAGACAGUCAUUCCAGGGGAAGAGCAAAUGAUUCGCUUCUCUGCUUUGGUUCUAACUCCUGCGUUCCUCUCUCACUUGUGCCUUUGUUCCUACAGCUCCCCCUGUUCCUGAGUGGGCCCAGCAGGAGCUUGGCCGCACCAUUCCCUGGAGUCCAGCUGUUGUAGAAAAGUGGUUUCCUUUCUCUAACAUCAGUGGUGCCAGUUCAAACUUGAUGGAGUCAUUUUGGUAAAACUUUCUUAUUUUCUGGGCAUUGAUUAAUAAAAUUAACUCUUAGUUAUCUGCAUACCGGCUUUAAAAAUUUCCAAUUACAGAAAUUUGUCAGUGGGCAUGGUGGCACAUACCUGUAAUUCCAUCUGCUCAAGUCUCUGGGGCAAAAGGAUUGCAAGUUUAAGGUCAGCCUGGGCAACUUAGCAAGAUCCUGUCCCCAAAAUGUAAAAAUUUGGGCUAGGGUUAUGGCUCAGUGGCACACUGUUUGCCUAGCAUGUUCGUGAGGCACUGGGUUCAAUCCUUAACACCGCAUUAAAAAUAAUAAUAAUAAUAAUAAAGGCAUACUGUCCAUCUACAACAACAAAACAUUUUUUUUAAAGUAUAAACUUUUAAAGGGGUCUGGGGAUGUAGCUCAGUGGUAGAGCAUUUGCCUACAUAUAAGGCCUUAGGAUUGACCCCAAUUCCAUAAAAAGAAAAAAAAUAAAUUGUCAAAUUAAAUAUUUAAAAAAUGCCCCCAUAUAUUAUGGAUGCAGAAAAAAAACAAAAAAGAUUCUAUUUUGUAUUCAUUAGAUUGCUAGAAAUUAAUAAAUCUGAAAAUAGCAAGGAAAAUGUAAACUGUAGGUGAUGGAAAUAUAAAUGGUUAGAGCCAUUUUAAAAGAAUAAUUUGGAAAUUCUUUGUAAGCCACAGUUUACAUGCUCUUGCUAUACAGAAAUUCCACUUAAAGCCAUCUAAUAAAUUCUUAUACAGACACAUAUUCAUUGUUAAUCAGAAAUAGUGAAAAAGUGGAAAGAACAAGUUGACCCUCAGAAGGAAAAUGAUUAAGUAAAACACAAUAUAGUCAUAUGGUAGAAUAUUAGAGAUUAGUAAAAAUAAACUGGAGCUAUUUAUAUGUACACAGAAAACUGAAAACAAUUACAAGAGAGUGAUAUUAUGUGAUAGUGCAAAAUUGAUAACGUAUUAACUACCAAUUUGUGUUAGUUUUGUUAUAUAUGUGUAUCUCUAAAUAAGAUACACGUAGGGCUGGGAGUGUGGCCCAGUGAUAGAGCACUUGCUUAGCAUACAAAAGGUGCUGGGUUCAAUCCCCAGUACCACAAUAAAUAAAUAAACUAUGAACAAGUAUUUAAUUUUAGUGGGAGGUACAUAUUCUGUUUAUAUUGCAUGCUAAACUUUUCUGAUUGAAAGGUUUGUAUGUUUUUAAAAAUUAACAACAAAAAGAAAGACAAACCUUCCUCAGUGAGAGGACACACCAGCACAGAAAAUAAGAAUUCAUCUGCUUGUAGAUCAGUUUCAUGUGUGAAGCUGGUAGCCUUGCACAUAUCUAAUCUGCAACAUCUGUUCAACAAAUGUUGCCAUAACUUUCUUCCACUCUUUAAUCACAUGAUAUCAAAUAAUGGAUGAUGAUAAAAUUCAAAUAAUAUGUACUUAAAUGUUGUACUGUUUUCAUAAUUUCAUUAGUGAUUGAUCUUUAGAUAGAAACGCACUUAGUAACUAACCAUCCUUCCAGCUCCACUAUCUCCCCUUCUCAUCAUCUCCAUAUUGGUUGUUUUUUUGUGGUUUGGUUGGGGUUUUUUUGCUGUACUAGGGAACAAACUCAGGGCUUCUUGCAUGCCAAACAAGUGCCCUACUACUGAUCCAUAGUCCCCCACCUCACAUUAUUUUUUCACAAUAUGAAAGAAUUAUUCAGAAGUGGUUGCAGUACUAAUUAUUCUGUCUUAACAUCAUCUUGUACUUUAUUAAUGUAUGGAAACUGAGUAAAACGUAACUAUGGAAGCCCAAAGGGAAAUAGUUAUAAUUAGACAUGUAUCCUAAUUCAUCAAGAAUCCUACUAGACAUUGACAUAUGUCUCUAAUCCCUGCUGCUCGGGAGGCUGAGGCAGGAAGAUCUCAAGUUCAAGGCCAGCCUGGGCAACGUAUUGAUGCCCUAAGAGAGCUGGGUUGAUGUAGCUCAGUGUUAGAGUGUUUGUCUACUGUAUGUAAAGCCCUGGGUUCAAUCUGCAGUUCAAUCUGAAUAAAUUGGAACUUUGGUUUUAUACUAGACAUCUUGACUUUGCAGGUUACUACAAGCUACCUCAGCUAAUAAGGAAGAGUUUUCUAAAACUGAGAGUGAAUUAACACGUUGCCUCUCCGAGCACUACCAGAGAAAAUCUCGUGAAGAGUCUACUGUAGCUAAUCAAGAAGACAGCAAAAAGAAACGUAAGCCCAUAGAAAGGCUAUUUCUUAAGGAAGUCUCUUUUCUCUUUAAAGGCCAAUCUUUUUCUUAAGAUGUACAUUUAAAAGAUUAACAUUCCUUGAAUUGAGGUUCAAAUGGUAACUAAAUAAAUGACAAAUUCAUAUAUUUCAAAUUUGCAAAUAUUAAUAUUAGUCCAAUAGUGAUAAAAAUUACAAUCCUAGCUUCCUAAUGAAUAAUAAACUAUCUUCAUCUUUAGUUAUAACAGAUUUAAAUAUAAUUUUUUAUUCUGCUUGUACAGCCUACUUUGCCUUUUUAUUUAUUAUUCUACCUCAUUGCUUAAUAAAAUUCACAAAAUUAAUGCUUAGAUUGUUGCUUUUACUAUUAUAAAUAAUACGACAGUAUGCAUCAUGUGGGUAAUUUUUGAGUAAUUACCUUUGUAGUAAUUACUAUGUUUUGAGUAAUUACCUUUGCAGAAGUUUGCAAAAAAGAGUUACUGUGUUAAAGAGCAAGAAAACUGCCUCUCCAUGUGCAUUGCUAAAUUGCCUUUUAGAUGAGUUUGGUAGAAAAAAGAACUUUCAUCACCACCCUAUGGCCAUUGAGUAACACCAAAAUGAAUGUGUUUGCUUUAUGUCAAAAUCAUCAAAAUGUUUAGCUCCUGAAUUUGAACUAAAAAAGGAUUCUCUUUCUGCCUUUUGUUAUGGGUAGAAAGACAUACAGGAGCUAACGAAUUUAGAUCAUUCUGAAGGGAGAUGCUGCACUUCAGUGUUCUUUCACAGCAGUCUGACUGCACAGAAGUGAAAGUGAGCUGACUUUUCCUGCUGUGCUGCCCUUGUGGUAGGUGGUGUUCCCCGCACUCCAGUGAGACAGAAGAUGAAUACCAUGUGCCGUUCCCUGAAGAUGUUGAACGUUGCAAGGCUGAAUGUAAAGGCUCAGAAGUUACAUCCAGAUGGCAGUCCAGAUGUGGCUGGAGAGAAGGGGGUCCAAAAGAUAGCCAGUGGAAGAACAGCAGAUAAACUGGAAGACAAAGGAAGAAC
rnacentral:lncRNA from 1 species